UGUCAUAUUUUUGACGUUCUAACAUUUGUUAAAUGCUAAUAGUUUUUCUAAGCUCAAUUUUAAGGUUCUUGUGCGUUCAAUGUACGUCGGUCGGCCGAAACAUUGGCUCAUUGUGUGAUAAAUUAGGGAACAUAAAUAGUGUUUUGUCUUUGCCCAUUCAGUUAUAAUUAGGUAGCACAAUUUGCUCUGUUGAAUCGGUAAUGAGACGGUUGUGCGCGAGACUUGUGGACAAUAAGCGGUAAAUCAAUUAUACAAUGCGUUUCACUGAUUUUUACGUCUUUGUUUUUCGUUAUGAAUAUGUAACGUUUGGGAGGCUAAUGAGUUUCGAGAUGAUGCCCAUAUUGAGUCCCCCACAUUUCAACGCGCGCUUUACGUUGAGGGAUGCAGCAUUUUAGCGGCCCGAUGUACCGUGUACGAAGUUCAAUAGUUUAUUAGUAACUUAGUUACACGAGCGUGCUGAUUGCAAAAUUCGCCUCUAGCCCCGGGUGAGGCGCGAUGCGUGCAACUUCGGCGCGAGACAAUUGGUAUGUUCCUUUUA
rnacentral:lncRNA from 1 species